rnacentral:rRNA from 1 species
AACGAACGCUGGCGGCAUGCCUAACACAUGCAAGUCGAACGAGACCUUCGGGUCUAGUGGCGCACGGGUGCGUAACGCGUGGGAACCUGCCCUUAGGUUCGGAAUAACUCCCCGAAAGGGGUGCUAAUACCGGAUAAUGUCUUCGGACCAAAGAUUUAUCGCCUUUGGAUGGGCCCGCGUUGGAUUAGCUAGUUGGUAGGGUAAAAGCCUACCAAGGCGACGAUCCAUAGCUGGUCUGAGAGGAUGAUCAGCCACACUGGGACUGAGACACGGCCCAGACUCCUACGGGAGGCAGCAGUGGGGAAUAUUGGACAAUGGGCGAAAGCCUGAUCCAGCAAUGCCGCGUGAGUGAUGAAGGCCUUAGGGUUGUAAAGCUCUUUUACCCGGGCUGAUAAUGACAGUACCGGGAGAAUAAGCUCCGGCUAACUCCGUG